AAAAAGUCGGGGAGAGAAAUUUAAGCAUGUUCCGUUUAUUCUUUCCAAAUUUAUCAACCAGAUAAGUCAUUCCACUUCUUCUGAGGGAGUGAAGAAAGAGGCCAAGUUCAGAAUUUUACCAGUUGACUACCUUGACCUGGACAUAAGCACCAGAACGGUUGCACUCAACAACAAAGACUGUACUGGGAAUAGAAAGAUGAACAAGACAGUGCACUUCCCUUCAAAGAGCUUACAGAAUCACAACCAGCAGGAAGAUAAAAAGCAGAUGGAAUAGCAAUAACAACAACUAAAGGACAGAAAAACCUAGCAACCACAAGGCAAGAGCAAGAUAAAAAUAAGAAUAAUAAAAGAUAAAUGCACGAAUUCCUAAACACCUUCCUCCUCUUCUCUCAGGAGUUCCAAUGCCUGAAUAGGAAAAUAACAGACAUCCCAGAAGAAUACUGAACAAUGCAUACAAAUAAGUACAUCGCUGAAGAAGCAAACUGCCCAAUAAAGUCUUCAAUCUCUCUGGUGGUAAGAAUGAUCAGGGAAAUAAUAAGGUCAUUGUCAUUGGUUUCUUUGAGCUCUGGCUUGAGAAAAAAGAAGAACAUAGUUCUACGGAUGGAGGAUGAUUCUAUUUACAGAGGUUAGAUUUUUUUUUAUUGUAAACUUAUGAUAAAAGGAAUUUAAGUUUAAUGUAGGCAAGAGAUUACCAGAAGUAUGGGAAAAAUAAUCCCAAGAGAGAUUUGGAAUUAUUUAGGAAUUUUAAGAGUAAACUAACUGGCCGGUCAUGUUGGCUCACACCUGUAAUCCUAGCACUUUGGGAAGCUGAGGCUUGUAGAUUGCCUGAGCUCAGGAGUUCAAGACCACCCUGGGCAACAUGGUGAAACCCUGUCUCUACUAGAAAUACAAAAAAAGAAAAAAUUUUCUGGGUGUGGUGGUGUGCACCUGUAGUCCCAGCUACUCGGGAAGCUAAGGCACGAGAAUCACUUGAGCCCAGGAGGCAGAGGUUGCAGUGAGCCGAGAUUGCACCAAUUCACUCCAGCCUGGGUGACAGAGUGAGACUCCAUCUCAAAAAAAAAAAAAAAAAAGGAGUAAGCCAACAAAUAUUAAUACACAUGUGCAAAGUCUAAGGGAAAUCAGUCCAGAAUAAAAAUAAAUAAAGGUAAAUCUCAGAAAGCACCUUCAAGAAGGUGGAUUAACGGGUCAGGCAUGGUGGCUCACGCCUGUAAUCCCAGCACUUUGGGAGGCUGAGGCAGAGGGACCACGAGGUCAGGAGAUCGAGACCAUCCUGGCUAGCAUGGUGAAACCCCAUCUCUACUAAAAUUAAAAAAUAAUAAAUAAAAAAAGAAGGAAAAGAAAGUGGAUUAAAAGCACCAAGUAGUCUUAUCCUCCACAAAGGGGAACCAAAAUAGUGAGAAGAUAACUGCAAUGCAAAUACAUAAUGUAAGAAAGAACACUGGAAUUCAACAGAGAAGCUACAGGAAACACCUAAAAUAAGCACGGAGAGGGAAGCAUGGCAGUCUACUUCUCUGGGAUCAUCCAGUAGCCUGGAGAGAUUCUCCAUUGCAGUCAAGGAUAAGUGAGUCACCCAUAGGGCUUCACAUUUCCACUAUGGACUCUUGCAUCCUGGGCAUGGGAAAGCCCCUAGACCCUUGCAGUCCCUAAGACUAGCAUAAGGAGUUGCAUGGAGGCAGUAUGAAAACAUUGUUCCAGACAGGGAGCUCACACGGAGUCCAGCACAUUCUAAGCUAAGCAGCUACUGAAAGACAGCAUAUUUAGAGCCCAGCCUCCACCAGACUGCAUCCUGCCUGGAGGUCCAACAGUGCUUGCAUCCCCACAUCUCUAGAGCCUUCAGAGAUUCCCCACCUUCAGCCACCACCAUGGCUGGAUACUGCAUCCAGGGCUGAAGUAUGAGCUUUUGGCAAAUACCCUGUUGCCCCAGGAGUGAUGUCACUUCACAUUUUCAUGCACUCUGAGGGCAAACUCUGCAACUAGCAGUAGCCAUCACUACAAGCUGUCACAUCCAGGGUUGAAACACAAGUGAAGAACAUACUCCUCAGCUGUCUGCCUAUGACUGUUGUCCCUGAAAGCACACCUGUUCUCCCCAAUAGUAGGUCUACAGUGCAGCCACUGCUGCUGCCACCCUCACCCAGAGCAUUCUGCUGUGGGCCCUGGGCUCAAUCUGCUGCUGCCUACCACAGCCAGUGCCUAUCCA
rnacentral:lncRNA from 1 species